UACGUAGGGGGCAAGCGUUAUCCAGAUUUACUGGGCGUAAAGCGCGUGUAGGCGGCUGGUUAGGUGUGAUGUGAAAUCUUCCGGCUCAACCGGAAAACUGCAUUGCAAACCGGCCUGGCUAGAGUGCAGGAGAGGGAAGCGGAAUUCCUGGUGUAGCGGUGAAAUGCGUAGAUAUCAGGAGGAACACCUGUGGCGAAAGCGGCUCACUGGACCACAACUGACGCUGAGGCGCGAAAGCUAGGGGAGCAAACAGG
rnacentral:rRNA from 1 species